rnacentral:rRNA from 1 species
GGCUAACGCUGGCGGCGUGUCUUAGCCAUGCAAGUCGAGCGGACUUAUGGGGUAACUUAUAAGUCAGCGGCGGACGGCGGAGUAACACGUAGCUAACCUACCCUCUGGACGGGGAUAACCUACCGAAAGGUGGGCUAAUACCCGAUGUAGUCAUCCUGUAUAGGGGUGAUGAAAGGUGGGCUUCUGUUUACAAGCUCAUGCUGGAGGAGGGGGCUGCGGCCUAUCAGGUAGUUGGUAGGGUAAUAGCCUACCAAGCCGAUGACGGGUAGCCGGCCUGAGAGGGUGACCGGCCCGAGGGGCACUGAGAUACGGGUCCCACUCCUACGGGAGGCAGCAGGCUAGAAAUUUGGGCAAUGGGGGAAACCCUGACCCAGUGACGCCGCGUGCAGGAAGGAGCCCUUCGGGGUGUAAACUGCUGUCGUGUAGGGAGAAGGGUACUAAGGUGAACAAUCUUAGUACUUGACGGUACUACAGGAGGAAGCCCAGGCUAACCUCGUGCCAGCAGCCGGAGUAGCUACGUAGACUCGAGCGGC